GCCGGGCGUGGUGGUGUACACCUGUAAUCCCAGCUACUCAGGAGGCUGAGGCAGGAGAAUCACUUGAACCCGGGAGACAGAGGUUGCAGUGAGCCAAGACUGCACCACUGUACUUCAGCCUGGGUGACACAGCAAGACCCUGCCUCAA
ensembl:misc_RNA Metazoa_SRP Metazoan signal recognition particle RNA